CCUACGGGUGGCUGCAGUAGGGAAUAUUGCUCAAUGGGGGAAACCCUGAAGCAGCAACGCAGCGUGGAGGAUGAAGGUUUUCGGAUUGUAAACUCCUUUUGAUAGAGAAGAUAAUGACGGUAUCUAACGAAUAAGCACCGGCGAAAUCCGUGCCAGCAGCCGCGGUAAUACGGAGGGUGCAAGCGUUACUCGGAAGCACUGGGCGUAAAGAGCGCGUAGGCGGGAUAGCAAGUCAGAUGUGAAAUCGGAGGGCUUAACCAUAGAACUGCAUUUGAAACUGGUAUGCUAGAGUAUGGGGGAGGUAGGUGGAAUUCUUGGUGUAGGGGUGAAAUGCUUAGAGAUCAAGAAGAAUCCUCAUUGCGAAGGCAACCUGCUAGAACGUAACUGACGCUGAUGCGCGAAAGCGUGGGGAGCGAACAGGAUUAGAUACCCGAGUAGUC
rnacentral:rRNA from 1 species